rnacentral:rRNA from 1 species
UGAUCUGACGAGCUUGCUCUGAUUUGAUUUUAUCUGACAAAGAGUGGCGAACGGGUGAGUAACACGUGGGUAACCUACCUCUUAGCAGGGGAUAACAUUUGGAAACAAGUGCUAAUACCGUAUAAUACCAACAACCGCAUGGUUGUUGGUUGAAAGAUGGUUCUGCUAUCACUAAGAGAUGGACCCGCGGUGCAUUAGCUAGUUGGUAAGGUAACGGCUUACCAAGGCAAUGAUGCAUAGCCGAGUUGAGAGACUGAUCGGCCACAAUGGGACUGAGACACGGCCCAUACUCCUACGGGAGGCAGCAGUAGGGAAUCUUCCACAAUGGGCGCAAGCCUGAUGGAGCAACGCCGCGUGUGUGAUGAAGGGUUUCGGCUCGUAAAACACUGUUAUAAGAGAAGAACGGCACUGAGAGUAACUGUUCAGUGUGUGACGGUAUCUUACCAGAAAGGAACGGCUAAAUACGUGCCAGCAGCCGCGGUAAUACGUAUGUUCCAAGCGUUAUCCGGAUUUAUUGGGCGUAAAGCGAGCGCAGACGGUUAUUUAAGUCUGAAGUGAAAGCCCUCAGCUCAACUGAGGAAUGGCUUUGGAAACUGGAUGACUUGAGUGCAGUAGAGGAAAGUGGAACUCCAUGUGUAGCGGUGAAAUGCGUAGAUAUAUGGAAGAACACCAGUGGCGAAGGCGGCUUUCUGGACUGUAACUGACGUUGAGGCUCGAAAG